rnacentral:rRNA from 1 species
AGGACGAACGCUGGCGGCGUGCUUAACACAUGCAAGUCGAACGGAAAGGUCUCUUCGGAGAUACUCGAGUGGCGAACGGGUGAGUAACACGUGGGUAAUCUGCCCUGCACUUCGGGAUAAGCCUGGGAAACUGGGUCUAAUACCGAAUAGGACCAUAAGGCGCAUGCCUAUUGGUGGAAAGCUUUUGCGGUGUGGGAUGGGCCCGCGGCCUAUCAGCUUGUUGGUGGGGUGACGGCCUACCAAGGCGACGACGGGUAGCCGGCCUGAGAGGGUGUCCGGCCACACUGGGACUGAGAUACGGCCCAGACUCCUACGGGAGGCAGCAGUGGGGAAUAUUGCACAAUGGGCGCAAGCCUGAUGCAGCGACGCCGCGUGGGGGAUGACGGCCUCGGUUGUAACUCCUGUCAUUUGGACAAGGCGUACAUGUUAACUGCACGUGCGUUGAUAGUACCAGAAGAGGAAGAGACGGCUAACUCUGUGCCAGCAGCCG